CUGGAAGUGAUGUACAAUAUGACAGCUGACAUUCAGUGAUGGUCUUUGUAUUCAUACUGUCUGAUCCAG